rnacentral:rRNA from 1 species
UACGGAGGGUGCAAGCGUUGUUCGGAAUCACUGGGCGUAAAGCGCGUGUAGGCGGCCUCGUAAGUCUGGUGCGAAAGCCCGGGGCUUACCCCCGGAAGUGCACUGGAAACUGCAAGGCUUGAGUACCGGAGAGGAGGGUGGAAUUCCUGGUGUAGCGGUGAAAUGCGUAGAUAUCAGGAGGAACACCGGUGGCGAAGGCGGCCCUCUGGACGGAUACUGACGCUGAGACGCGAAAGCGUGGGGAGCAAACAGG